UUUGGCAUUGGGUUUACGAUCAGCGAUGGCAUUGCCUACCGCAUGCAAUAAGUGAGUUUUACCUAAACCAGUACCACCGUA
rnacentral:antisense_RNA from 1 species